UGGGAGUUGAUGAUGUAGUUAUAUACUUGAAGGGUGUGUGUGUGAAUUGGCCUAUAUAAGGAUCAAAAUAUCAGGGAAGAUUAUUUUCUUCCCCCGUACGCCUCUCUCUCUCCCGUUCUCUCCUCUCUCUCGGCUCUCACCUCUCUCACCUUCUCUCUUCGAUUUCAUCGACCACGAGUGAGACUUUUGAAAAAUAUCAAGUACUAAAGUUGUUCUACGCGACGAGAGCUUCCUAUCCAUCGAAGAAAAUUCACGAUCGGAGCACUUCGAAGUUUCCUCCAUGUUCGGGCUUGCUUCUAACCUUCGAGGAAGUUCGAGUCGUUACGUGGAUCGAGGUGAGUGAUUUAAUACUUAAAUUACAUGAUUUUGAACUUGUUUUCUUUAACGAACUUAUUUGAACAAAUUUUAUGAAUUGUGUACUCCAUGGAAUAACAAUGGAAGGUGGAACUAUUUGUGAAAUAUUUGCGAAUCUAUUUAAUGGCAUUCCCAACGUCCGGUCUUGCUAGGGGACGGCUUAAUGGCUAGCAAGGGUGUUUGAGGUUGGUAUGUGUUUUGGGAUAAUGCGUAGACGUCUGGCUUAUCCACUACUGGGGACGCCCGGUAGCUUUGAAUUUUGAAUAGCGGAAUGUGCAUUAUAUUUGGCUUAUAGUUUUGAGUUCUUUGUUUUGAAAUAUUAUCAAAUUAUUUUGCAUUGUCCAUGGAAGGCAUGUGAGUUAAGUAUUAAUCAUUCACACGAGCUUUGGCUUAAGUAUUUUCUUUUCCACCUUUCAGGAAGCGACGCGUAGUGUGGCAGGGUGUUUACUUUAGUUUGUAAAUUUGUAGGUAAGCACAGCUCUGAGAGGUUUAUCCUUUUGGUUUGUAAACCUAUGUAAGAUUUUGGUUUGUUAUCAAUAAAAGUUAACUUUUGCUUC